AUCGCUUCUCGGCCUUUUGGCUAAGAUCAAAGUGUAGUAUCUGUUUCUUAUCAGCUUAAUAUCUGAUACGGGGUUCAAAUGGACCCCAGAAUAUUAAACUGAUUUUUGGCAUACGGUGGGGAAUACAGUGCUUGCACUGCUCCCGCCACGGGUUUGACCCGGUAUUGCAGUACCUCCGGGAUCGGCUCACCCUCU
rnacentral:snRNA from 1 species